UACGUAGGGUGCAAGCGUUGCCCGGAUUUAUUGGGCGUAAAGGGCGCGUAGGCGGCUCUGCACGUUCGUUGUGAAAUCGCCCGGCUCAACUGGGCGGGGUCCGCGGAUACGGCAGAGCUUGAGCAAGCUAGGGGGCAAUGGAAUUCCCGGUGUAGUGGUGGAAUGCGUAGAUAUCGGGAGGAACACCAGUGGCGAAGGCGGUUGCCUGGGGCUUUGCUGACGCUGAUGCGCGAAAGCGUGGGGAGCGAUCCGG
rnacentral:rRNA from 1 species